rnacentral:lncRNA from 1 species
CCAGGUUCAAGUGAUCCUUUCACCUUAGCCUCCUGAGUAGCUGGAAUUACAGGCUUGAGCCACCACACCCAGCUAAUUUUUGUAUUUUUCAUAGAGACAGGGUUUCGCCAUGUUGCCCAGGCAGGUCUUGAACUCCGGGCCUCAAGUGAUCCGCCCACCUCAGUCUCCCAAAGUGCUGGGAUUAGCGGCAUGACCCACGGUGCCCAGCCCAAAUUUUCUUUUCUCUUCUUUCUUUCUUUUUUCUUUUUCUUUUCUUUUCUUUUCUUUCUUUCUUUUUUUUUUUUUUUUUUUGAGACAGAGUCUCCCUCUCUCGCCCAGGCUGGAGUACAGUGGUGCAAUUAUGGCUUACGGCAGCCUCAACUUCCUGGGCUCAGGUGAUCCUCCCAUCUCAGCCUCAUAAGUAACCGGGAUUAUAGGCCCGUGCCAUUAUGCUUGGCUAAUUUUUGCAUUUUUUUGUAGAGACAGGGUUUCGCCAUGUUGCCCAGGCUGGUCUUAAACAACUGGACUCGAGCAAUCUGUCGGCCUUGGCCUCCCAAAGUUCUGAGAUUACAGGCGUGAACCACCACGGCUGGCCAACAACAGAUUAUCAGGGUAGGCAGAACAGUCUUACAUUGGGAAAGAUGUCACCUAGGACUUUAAUAGAUAGAGAGAAGUCAAUGCCUGACUUCAAAUCUUCAAAAAACAGGCUGACUGUCUUGUUAGGGGCUAAUGCAGCUGGUGACUUUAAGUUGAAGCCAAUGCUUAUCUACCAGCCUGAAAAUUCUAGGGCAAUUAAGAAUUAUGCCAAAUCUACUCUAUCUGUGCCCUGUAAAUGGAACAACAAAACCUGGAUGACAGCACAUACGAUUACAACCUAGUUUACUAAAUAUUUUAAGCCCACUGUUGAGACCUACUGCUAAGAAAAAAAUAUUAUUUUAAAAAUAUUACUGCUCUUGACAAUGCACCUGGUCUCCCAAGACUUCUGAUGAAGAUGUACAAGGAGAUGAAUGUUUUCAUGCCUGCUUACAACAUUCAUUCUGCAGCCCAUGGAUCAAGAAGUAACUUGGGGCCGGGUGCAGUGGCUCACUCCUGUAAUCCCAGCACUUUGGAAAGCCAAGGCAGGCAGAUUACUUGAGCCCGGGAGCUCAAGACCAGCCUGGGCAACAUGGCAAAAAGCUAUCUCUACAAAAAAUACAAAAAUUAGCCAGAAGUGGUGGUGUGCACCUGUAGUCCCAGCUGCCAGGGAGGCUGAGGAUCACCUGAGCCUGGGAGGUCAAGGCUGAGCUGAGAUCAUACCACUGCACUCCAGCCUGAGUGACAGAGUGAGACACCGUCUCAAAAAAAAAAAAAAAAGUAAUUUUGAUUUACUUCAAAAUUUUCAGUCUUAUUUAAGAAAUACAUUUCUUAAGGCAAUAGCUGCCGUAGAUGGUGAUUCCUCUGACAGAUUUGGACAAGUAAAUAGAAAACCUUCUGGAAGGGAUUCACCAUUCUAGAUGCCAUUAGGAACAUUCAUAAGUCAGAUCCGGUGGCAUGCACCUAGCUACUCAGGAGGCUAAAGCAGGAGGAUUAGUUUAAGCCAGGAGUUCAAGGCUGCAGUGUGCCAUGAUUGUGCCUGUGAAUAGCCGCCGUACUCCAGCCUGGGAAACCUAGUGAGACCCUAUCUCUAAAAAAAUAUGUGAUUCAUGGGAGGAGGUCAAAAUAUCAACAUUAACAGGAGUUUGGAAGAAGUUGAUCCAACUCCCACAAAUGACUUUGAGGGGUUCAAGACUUCAGUGAAGGAAGUGACUGCAGAUGUGGAAAAAGCAAGAGAACGAGAAUUAGAAGUGGAGGCCAGCCAUGGUGGCUCAUGCCUGUAAUCCCAGCACUUUGGGAGGCCGAGGUGGGCAGAUCACUUGAGGUCGGGAGUUCAAGACCAGCCUGACCAACAUGGAUAAACCCCAUCUCUACUAAAAACACAAAAUUAGCCAGGCAUGGUGGUGCAUGCCUGUAAUCCCAGCUACUCGGGAGGCUGAGGCAUGAGAAUCGCUUGAACCUGGGAGGUGGAGGUUGCGGUGAGCCGAGUUUGUGCCAUUGCACUCCAGCCUAGGGAACAAGAGUGAAAUUCUAUCUCAAAAAAAAAAAAAAAAAGUGGAGCCUGAAGAUGGGACUGAAUUGCUGCAAUCUCAUGAUCAAACUUGAACCAAUGAGGAGUUGCUUCUUGUGGAUGAGCAAAGAAAGUAAUUUCUCAAGAUGGAAUCUACUCCUGGUGAAGAUGCUGUGAACAUUGUUGAAAUGACAACAAAGGAUUUAGGUAUUACAUAAACAUCAUUGAUAAAGCAGCAGCAGGGUUUGGGAGGAUUGGCUCCAAUUUUGAAAGAAGUUCUACUAUGGAUAAAGUGCUAUCAAGCAACAUCGCAUGCUAGAGAAAUCUUUCAUGAAAGAAAGAGUCAAUUCAGGUGACAAACAUCAUUGUUGUCUUAUUUUAAGAAAUUGGGGCCGGGUGUGGUGGCUCACGUCUGUAAUCCCAGCACUUUGGGAGGCUGAGGCGGGUGGAUCGCUUGAGGCCAGGAGUUCGAGACCAGCCUGGACAACAUGGCGAAACCCUGUCUCUACUAAAAAUACAAAAAUUAGCUGGGCAUGGUGGCAGGCGCCUGUAAUCCCAGCUACUUGUGAGACUGAAGCACGAGAAUCGCUUGAACCUAGGAGGUAGAAGUCGCAGUGAACCAAGAUGGCACCACUGCACUCCAGCCUGGGUGACAGAGCAAAACUUUGUCUCAAAAAAAGAAAAAAAAAAGAAUAGAGACAGCAUUUCCUAAGUCUGCCUGCCUGACUAUCAUCUUACCAACCCUAAACUGCCUAGAUUUAUGGAAGGGAAAAGUUAAACUUUUAACUUGUCUAAGCUCCUACUGUGUUGAAUUUGCUGUCACUUGCAGCCAAUACAAAUCCUAACUGAUACAGAAGGUGCUAUUACACCAGAAGAAGGGAAAAUUUCCGGGUAAACAAAAAAUCCAAAUGUCUCUGCACAGAUUUUGUUAAUAACUUUUCAAAAAUCUCCCAUUAGUUAUCCACAAGGUGAAUUUUCUCACUUCCUUUAAGUUCUUGCCAAACUAUCACUUUUGUCUUUAAACACUUUCAUCGAGAUAUAAUUGAUAUACAAUAAACUGCAUGUAUUUGAAGUGUACAAUUUGGUAAGUUUUGACAUAUGUAUAUACUGUCAAGCAAUCACCACACAAGAUAGGGGAUAUAUUCAUCACCCACACAAGUUUCCUGUAUCCCUGUCCUUCUGCCCCUCUCUAGCCACCCCUCCCCAGGUAAUCAUUUAUCUAUUUUCAUCACUAUAGAUGACUUUCCAUCUUCUAGAGUUUUAUAUAAAUGAAAUACUACAGUGUGCCUUAUUUUUUUCUAGAUUCUUUCACUCAGUGUAAUUAUUUUGAGAUUCAUCCAUGCUGUUGUGUAUAUAAGUAGUUCAUUGUUAUUUACUGUAAGUAGUGUGCCUUUGUUUGGAUAGAUCACAGUUUGUCUAUUCACACAUUAAUAGACAUUUGGAUUGCUCCAGUUUUUUGCUAUUACAAAGAACUCUGCUAUGAAUGUUAAUGUACAAGUAUUUAUAUAAAUAUAUGCUUACUUUCCUCUUGGGUAAAUGCCUAGGAGUUGGCUGGAUCAUAUGAUAGAUAUAUAUUUUACUUUUUGAAAAUCUUCCAAACUAAUUGGUAUCAUUUUGUAUUCCCACCAGCAGUGUAUGAAGUUCCAGUUUCUUCACAUCUUUGACAACAAUUUCCUAUUAUAUGGCUGGACAGUGAGUCUUGCAAUGUCACCCAGGCCGGAGUGCAAUGGCGUGAUCUCGUCUCACUGCAACCUCCACCUCCCGGGAUCAAGCGAUUCUCCUGCCUCAGCCUCCCAAGCAGCUGGGAUUACAGGCGCCCGCCACCAUGCCCGGCUAAUUUUUUGUAUUUUAGUAGAGACGGGGUUUCACUAUGUUGCCCAGGCUGGUCUCAAACACCUGCCCUCGUGAUCCGCCCGCGUCGGCCUCCCAAAGUGCUGGGAUUACAGGUGUGAGUCACUGUGCCCGGCCUCUUUUUCUUUUUGUUUGAGACUGAGUCUCACUCUGUCAUCCAGGCUGGAGUGCAGUGGGACCAUCACAGAUCACUGCAGCCUCAAGCUCCCCGGCUCAAGCGAGCCUUCCACCUCAGUCUCCAGAGUAGCUGAGACUAUAGGCAUGUGCCAUCAUGUCCAGCCAGUUUUUAAAUUUUUUGUAUAGACAGGGUCUUUCUAUGUUGCCAGGGCUGGUCUGGAACUCCUGGGCUCAAGUGAUCUUCCCGCCUCAGCCUCCCAAAGUGCUGUGAUUAGAGGCAUGAGUCACUGUGCCCAGUUUUAAUUUUCUUUUAUGGAUUUUGGUGCUAUACCUAGGAAAUCUUUACCUGACCUAGUAUCACAGACUUUAUUCUAUUUAUAAGAAAUGUUAUAGCUUUAGGUUUUAUGUUUCGGCUAUGAUCCAUUUUGAGUUAAUUUCUGCAUAUGAUAUGAGGUAUGGAUGGGAGUUCAUUGUUUUCCAUCUGGAUAUGCAAUUGUUCCAGCACCAUUUAUUGAAAAGACUAUCCUUGACCCACUGAAUUUUCUUCAUACAUUUGUUAAAAAUCAGUGUCCAUAAUAUGUGGGUGUUUUUCUCAGACUCUCUUGUCAUAGUCAGUUUGGGCUGCUAUGACAGAGCACCAUAAACUGGGUGGUUCAUAAACCACAAAAAUAUUUUUCUCAUAGUUCUGGAAGCUGGAAGUCCAAGAGAAGGUGCCAGCAUGGUAGGGUUCUCCUGAGGGCCCUCUCCAAGUUGUAGAUGGCUUACUUCUUGCUGUAUCUUCACAUAGCAGAGAACAGAGAGGGAAAGCAAGCUCUCUCAUGACUUUAUAAGUACACUAAUUCCAUUAAUGAGGUCUCCAUCCAUACGACCUCAUCUAAACCUAAUCACCUCUCAAAGGUCCCACCUCCUGAUACCAUCAUAUUGGGCAGUAGGGUUUCAACAUAUACAUUUUGAAUAGGACACAAACAUUCAGUCCAUACCACUCAAUUCUAUUGUUUUGUUCUAUUUUUCUAUCUUCACACCAAUAAUACACAGUCUUGAAUACUGUAUAAGUCUUUAUAAGUCUUUAAAUCAGGUAGUAUUUGCCUUCCAAAUUUGUUCUUUUUUUUUCCAAAAUUGUUUUGGUUAUUGCAGUACUUUACAUUUCCACAUAAAUUUUAUAAUCAAUUUGCAAAUUCCAAAAAAAGUCUGCUGGGAUUUUGAUUUGAAUUGCUUUGAAUAUGUAGAACAAAUUGGAAAUAAUUGACAUCAUAACAAUAUUUAGUUUUCUGGAUCAGAACAAAGUAUGACUCUCCAUUUAUUAAGUUAUUCUUUCACUUCUUUCAACAAUGUUUUAUAGUGUUCAGUGUGUAGGCUUUUCACAUCUUAUGUCAGAUUUAUCUCUAUGUAUUUAAUGUUUUUUAAUUAAAAAAUUUUUAUGAAUCAAGAAAGAGCUGGAGUAUUAUAUUUGUGACACUAUUGUAAAUGAUAUUUCAAAAUUUCAAUUUAUAAUUCUUUGUUACAGAUGUAUAACAAUACAAUAGAUUUUUGAAUGUUAAUCUUGUAUCUUGAGACCUUGCUAAAGUCAUUUAUUAGUUCUAAUAGUUUUUUGUUUUUUUUUUUUUGUUUUGGAGACAGGGUCUUGCUCUGUCCUGCAGGCUGGAGUACAGUGAUGCAAUCAUAGCUCAAUGUAACCUUGAACUCCUGGGCUCAAGCAAUCCUCCCACCUCAGUUUCCCAAGUAGCUGAAACUACAGGCAUGAAUCACUGUGCCUGGCUAAUUUUUUUUGUUUGUUUUUUAUUUUUGUAGAGACAGGGCCUCAUUAAAUUGCUCAAGCUGGUCUAGAACUCUUGGGCUCAAGCAAUCCUCCCACCUCAGCCUCCCAUAGUGUUGGGAUUAUAGGGUUGAGCCACCAUGCUCAGCCUAUAUCUAUUUUUUGUUUAUUAGUUCUAGUAGAUUUUGGGAGAUCCUGUCGACUUUCUACAUAGAUAAUUAUUUUAUUUGUAAAUAAAGACAUUUUUACUUCUUCUUUUCUAAUUUGUAUCUUCUUUUUAAAUUAUAUUGCCUAGAACCUCUAGUAUGAUGUUAAGCAGAGAUGAUGAGAAUGAUUAUCAAUAGUAGGUAGAAAGUACUUAGUCUUUUACCAUUAAGUAUGAUGUUAGCUGUAGGUUUUUCAUAAAGGCCAUUGUCAAGUUAAGGAAGUUCCCUUCUAAUCUUUCUCUGUAGAGAAGAUUUAUCAUCAAUGGAUGCUGGAUUUUGUUGAAUGAUUUUCCUGCAUCUAUUGAGAUGAUCAUAUGCUUUUUCUUUUUCAGCUUGUUAAUGUGAUAAAUUACAUUGAUUUUCAAAUGUUAAACCAAUUUUGCAUUCCUGGGUUAAACUGUAUUUGGCUAUGAUGUACUGUCCUUUUUAUAUAUUAUUGCAUUUAAUUUGCUAAAAAUAUUUUUAGAAUUUUUGCAACCAUAUUUAUGAGGGAUAUUUGUCUAUAGUUUUCUUAUAAUGUCUUUGUCUGGUUUUUGGUAUCAGGAUAAUACUGGCCUUAUAGAAUUAUUUGGGGGAAAAUUCUCUACUUUUCAAUUUUCUGGUAA